CGACACCCCUGCUCUAGUAGGUAUCCUGCAGGUAACCAACCACAAGAAAACUCCUUGUUUGAAACAGGAACAAGUCUUGGUUUUUUUUUCACAGCAGUGGCACUUUCUGAAUCUUUAGGGACAGACUGAACAGAUGACAGAGGACACAACAAAGUUGAUAAAUUGAACAACAUGGAUGACUAUAAGUUACAGUUCUGCUCUGCUGAGGAUCCCCAACUUGAUAUAAAGGAAGGAAAAGGCAUUUAAAAUCCAAUCGGGUUCCACUUCCGCCUCCUACUGACCUCACUCCACCUAAUCCCAUUGGACCCUCCUCUUCCUGCAUACUACAUAUAAAUUCAACGACCUGUGCCAUUUUGGACUCAGUCUUUGGGGAUUACUCUCUAGUCGUAACUCUAUUUUUUGAAAACGUUACUGUUAAUAUAUGAGGUAGAACCCCAAACCUUGUGCUUCUUCCACACCAUUAAUAAAAUUGUUGAACUAUGAUUAGUUGACAAAGAAGGAGUGGAAAACAAACUUUAGUCAGCA